GUUGUAUGGUUAAGUGACUAAGCGUACACGGUGGAUGCCUUGGCAGUCAGAGGCGAUGAAAGACGUAGUAACUUGCGAUAAGCCCAGAUUAGGUAGUAACAACCAUUUGAGUCUGGGAUUUCUGAAUGGGGAAACCCACGUGCAUAAGCACGUAUCCUUACCUGAAUACAUAGGGUAAGGAGGCGAACCGGGGGAACUGAAACAUCUAAGUACCCCGAGGAAAAGAAAUCAACCGAGAUUCCGAAAGUAGCGGCGAGCGAAAUUGGACUAGCCCUUAAGCUUUACACGCGUUAGACGAACGGUCUGGAAAGUCCGACGAUACAGGGUGAUAGUCCCGUAGUUGACGACGUGUGUUCAGUGAAAUCGAGUAGGGCGGGACACGUGAUAUCCUGUCUGAAUAUGGGGGGACCAUCCUCCAAGGCUAAAUACUACUGACUGACCGAUAGUGAACCAGUACCGUGAGGGAAAGGCGAAAAGAACCCCUGUGAGGGGAGUGAAAUAGAACCUGAAACCGUGUACGUACAAGCAGUAGGAGCAGGCUUUGUCCUGUGACUGCGUACCUUUUGUAUAAUGGGUCAGCGACUUAUAUUCAGUGGCAAGGUUAACCAUCUAGGGGAGCCGUAGGGAAACCGAGUCUUAACUGGGCGUUCAGUCUCUGGAUAUAGACCCGAAACCAGGUGAUCUAGCCAUGGGCAGGUUGAAGGUUGAGUAACAUCAACUGGAGGACCGAACCGACUAAUGUUGAAAAAUUAGCGGAUGACUUGUGGCUAGGGGUGAAAGGCCAAUCAAACCUGGAGAUAGCUGGUUCUCCCCGAAAGCUAUUUAGGUAGCGCCUCGGACGAAUACUACUGGGGGUAGAGCACUGUUAAGGCUAGGGGGUCAUCCCGACUUACCAACCCUUUGCAAACUCCGAAUACCAGUAAGUACUAUCCGGGAGACACACGGCGGGUGCUAACGUCCGUCGUGGAGAGGGAAACAACCCAGACCGCCAGCUAAGGUCCCAAAUUACUACUAAGUGGGAAACGAUGUGGGAAGGCUCAGACAGCCAGGAUGUUGGCUUAGAAGCAGCCAUCAUUUAAAGAAAGCGUAAUAGCUCACUGGUCGAGUCGGCCUGCGCGGAAGAUGUAACGGGGCUAAGUAGUAAACCGAAGCUGCGGCAAUAUACUUUUGUAUAUUGGGUAGGGGAGCGUUCUGUAAGCGGUUGAAGGUGUGUGGUAACGCAUGCUGGACGUAUCAGAAGUGCGAAUGCUGACAUGAGUAACGAUAAAGGGGGUGAAAAACCUCCUCGCCGGAAGACCAAGGGUUCCUGUCCAACGUUAAUCGGGGCAGGGUAAGUCGACCCCUAAGGCGAGGCCGAAAGGCGUAGUCGAUGGGAAACGGGUUAAUAUUCCCGUACUUCUUACAAUUGCGAUGGGGGGACGGAGAAGGCUAGGUGGGCCUGGCGACGGUUGUCCAGGUUCAAGUGCGUAGGCUUAAGAGUUAGGUAAAUCCGGCU
rnacentral:rRNA from 1 species